rnacentral:rRNA from 1 species
CCUACGGGGGGCUGCAGUGGGGAAUAUUGCACAAUGGAGGGAACUCUGAUGCAGCGACGCCGCGUGAGUGAAGAAGGAAUUCGGGAGGUAAAGCUCUAUCAGCAGGGAAGAAAGUGACGGUACCUGAAAAAGAAGCUCCGGCUAAAUACGUGCCAGCAGCCGCGGUAAUACGUAUGGAGCAAGCGUUAUCCGGAUUUACUGGGUGUAAAGGGAGAGUAGGUGGCAGAGCAAGUCCGAAGUGAAAACCCAAAGCUCAACUAUGGGAAUGCUUUAGAAACUGCUCAGCUAGAGUGCAGGAGAGGCAAGUGGCAUUCUUAGUGUAGCGGUGAACUGCGUAGCUAUUCGGAGGAACCCCAGUGGCGACGGCGGCUUGCUGGACUGUAACUGCCACUGAGGCUCGACAGCGUGGGGAGCAACCCGGAUUAGAUACCCGAGUAGUC